rnacentral:lncRNA from 1 species
CGGUGAAUAUUGCCCUGGGUCCUGGUAAUUCCACCUACUGAAGACAGCUGCCCCUUCUGCUCAUAUUUCCUGAGUCAACAUGGCCACUCUUAACUUUAAAGAGACUUUAGACAUUCUUUGUUACAAUGAACCUAGAAGAAAGAAGAGAAAUGAAAUAGAGAGAGGAAAUGAAAACUAUUUAUUUUACUGAACCAGCCGUCCCCCUGCGGAUUACAGCGACUGUGCCCGGGACUGUAAGAGGGAUAAGACCCAGCAGAAUAACUGCCAUGGAAGGAUGCUCCUCCUGCCAAUUGGCACUUAUCAAUGACAUCGAGGGAGAGGGACAGAGUGCCUAGGUAUGAGCCUUCAUCAAGUGGUAUGAAGGCCCUACCCCAACAGAAAGUGCUCAUGUGAAGAAAUGAUGCUUUGGACAAGACUUUCCUCCAAGUUGGUCCUAUCCAGGGGUUGGCAAAUAGGGUCCCUGGACAUCAUCCUUGUUGCGUACUCUUAUGAAUAAAGUUCUAUAGGACACAG